rnacentral:tRNA from 1 species
GCGCCCGUAGCUCAGUUGGAUAGAGCGCCAGCUUGCGGAGCUGGAGGUCAUAGGUUCAAGUCCUAUCGGGCGCG